CAAGGGGUAGUUUAAAAAAUAUUAGUUUUGGGGACUAAAGAUAAGUAAUAAUUACUUUCUCUUGA
rnacentral:tRNA from 1 species